GCCAGAAUCUAAAGAAACAUUCAGAAAUCGCAUACGAUUUUUGUAAACAAUUUAUUUGUAUAUUACUGUUACAAAUAAGUAUUUGAGCACUUAAUUAUCAGAGAUUUCUGACCAGCAAAGACUUGCAGUUCUGCUUUUAAAUAGGGCAAUUGCCAAGCAGCUUGGUGAGAAAAGGACAACUGUUGGAGCAAUUGUCAGAAAAUAGAAGAGGCUAAUGAUGACUGUCAAUGUCCCUCGGACUGGGGCCCCUCGCAAGAUCUCAUCUCGUGGGGUAUGGAUGAUGCGAAGGAAGGUGAAGAAUCAGCCCAGGAUUACACGGGAGGAGCUGGUCAAUGACCUGAAGAGAGCUGGGACCACUGUUUCCAAGGCUAUAAGUAAUACAUUGAAACGUCAUGGUUUAAAAUCAUGUAUCGCACGGAAGGUUCCCCUGCUGAAGGCAGCCCAUGUCAACGCCCGUCUGAGGUCUGGCAAUGACCAUCUUGAUGAUCCAGACGAGUCAUUGGAGAAAGUCUUGUGGUCUGAGACCAAUAUAGCACUUUUUGGUCUCAAAUAUAUUCAGUGUGUUUGGAGGAGAAAGAAGAAGCAUCAUCCCAAGAACACCAUACCUACAGUGAAGCACGGAGGUGGAAGCAUCAUGCUCUGAGGGUGUUUUUCUGCAUAAGGGACAGGACGACUGCACUGUAUUAAGGAGAGGAUGAACAGGGCUCUGUGUUGUGAGAUAUUGGGCAAAAACCUCCUAACCUCUGUCAGAGCGUUGUAGAUGGGUCGUGGCUGGGUCUUUCAUCAUGACAAUGACCCGAAGCAAACAGCCAAGAAAACCAAGGAGUGGCUCCGUAAGAAGCAUAUCAAGGUAAUGAAGUGGCCUAGCCAGUCUCCAGACCUAAAUCCAAUAGAGAAUCUUUGGAGGGAGCUGAAACUCCGUGUUGCUCAGCGACAGCCCCGAACCCCGACAGAUCUAAAGAAGAUCUGUAGAGGAGUGGGCCAAAAUCCCUAAUGCAGUGUGUAUUAACCUAGUGAAGAAAUAUAUGAACCGUUUGACCUCUGUAAUUGAUUAACAACGGCUUCUGUACCAAAUAUCAAAGUUGUUUAACUCAAGUGAUCAAAAACGUAUUUGUCACAGACUUUUACAAAGAAAUUGUACAACGUGAUUUCUGAAUGUUUCUUCAGAUUCUGUCUCUCACUGUGGAAAUGCACAUAUGAUGAAAAAUUUAGACACCUCCAUGUUUUAAAAUUGUGAGAACUUGCUGAAUCACAGGGUGAUCAAAUACUUAUUGACCUCACUGUAUAUAAGUAUCAAUGUUACUGUUUUUCUUGGAAAACAAUGGAUCACACAUAGGAUGUAUGAUCCAUCCCCUUGGGUCCAACCUGAAGCUAAGUAUCAGGAGCUGAACAUACGUACAUUAUUUUUUGGGAGUAAAUGGCAAUAUGCAAUUUGAAUUGAUCUCAAGACCUCAUCUCUCACAUCCACAUAAAAUUUUGAUCAUACCGAAAACGUUUAACCCCUUAAUAUCCAUUGAUGCACAUAUGCAUAUCCAUUCCAAUAUAUUUAAAUUUUUUCCGCAGGUGUAAAUUAAUGUAGAUGUUAAUAGGUAAACAAUGUAUGAAAUUCAUAAAUUAUAUAUUUUAAUGUGACAGGCUCUGAAAGUUUUCAAAGCUAAAGUUUAAUUCUAUAUCAAAUGAAAGUAUAAAAAGGGGCCUAUGCUUUGUUCUUGUGCGCUUGCUUUGAAGAGGGGGAGGGGCGGCAAUGACUGCGCGUGAGUAGUUAAAGGACUGGCUUGCCAAGAAGCUGAUGCAAGACUACAAACGGUAAGAAAUGAACAUACAUCGGGAAAUCUAAACUAUUUGAACUUUAAAAUAAAUACCAAUAAUCUAUAAUUUUUUCUGGUCAUGCAAGCUUUACCUCUUAGCUAAUAUUUCAGCUAACCCACGCAUGACACAAGUCAAGCAGAACUAACCCCCCCCCACGAACAAUAUUUUCAGUGACAGUUAACUUUAAUGACGGUGUAUUACUUUUGUAAUUUAGAAUUUUAGUUUAUAAAAUUAAUACAUCUCUAGACGGAGUCAUACUGUUGAAUGACAUUAGCUAAUCUGGCCCGGGUUCUGGCAGCACGCGGGUCGGUCGGUGCCAGCUAAUGAAACUACCUCAUAUAUCGAUCGCAAGGGUGCUUCUUUGUUGGUCAGAACCUAAACAAAGACGUAGGCAGCAGGGUAAGACACGACAACUAGUUCUAACAUAAAGAGAAGAAUGUAAUGAGAAAUUGUUUUUCCGGUUUCGGAGUAGUAAUGUUUUUGAAGUGCUGGUGGAACGGUUUGGCACCAUUUUGGUAAUAUGUCAUAACUGAUAAUUACUACAAACAAAGUAACUGCCCAUUGAUUGCUGAUUGACAGUACUGCCACAACACAAUAUCUGGUUUCUGCUAUAUGUAAAUGCUAUGUACUUUUGGGAUCUUUGUAGUACGUAGUUGUGAAAAAUAUAAUUGUCAAUAACCAAUAACAACCUACCACAAACAUGUGCUUGGUUGUUUAAAUUUACAGCUAGUUGUGAAUUUCAAUGUGAACACUACAAUUUAUCUAAACACCUUCUCUUAAGUUUUACAUUUUAAGUAAAUCAUUAUAUAGAACAUCUUUCAUUUUGACUAAUUGUGGAACAUACAAAAUAAAGUCAAUGUAUAUCUGAAGAUAAUUUCUAUUUCUGUUUAUUAUUUACAUAUAGUAAAAGAGUGAAGCAAUUGCAGUUUAUUUUGACUUAAAAGACUUCAUGUUAAUUUUCCAUUUAACAGGGGUACUAAAUAAAGUUAAACUUGACCACAUUUAACAAUGACUUUAUUUUUUCUAUUGUCAUAUCAAAUUUGAUAUGAAGAAGUGUAUUCUACAAUUCAUGAAUGAAUAUUUUGAAUAAAAUAUGAAGUACUAAAGUUAAGACUAGGUCCUCUGUAGGUUUAUGUUAUUGAAAGCAAACACCCACGAAAUUAAUAGGUUACAAACAAACAAUUAAAUGGAAUUUCUGCUGUGCCCCAAUUUCAACACCUUAGAUAGAAACAGCAUGUCAUUAAGUUUAUUUGUUUAUAUGUUUUUUAUGCUGGAAAAUAAUGCAAAUCCAGUGGUUCGACUCCAGAACACAAAUGUCAAGAUGCCACGAGGAUCUACAACAAAACUUUGUGUCAGCUGCAAAGCUGUGAUUGGUGUGGCAACUAAGACAUGUAAAGUAUGCCAAACAAUCCAGCCAAUGAGGCAAAGGCUUGCCAAAAAACUGGAGAAGUUUCAAUCCAAAAAGGAGACUUGGUUGCAAAAACACAAGAAAAACAAAACCACCACACAUGUUUUGGAUGAGGCAUCGGUUUUGGUGGAAAAGUUGAAUACUUUGGGACAAAAAGCCGUUGUGUUUAUUGCCAGACCUGGAAAGAAAACAUCUACGUGGCAUACACAUGUCAUUCACCCUAGGUGGCAAUUAACCGAUCAAGCUGGACAGUGUCUGGACCGCAUGAAAGACCUAUAUGAGCUAAUGAUCAAUGCAGGUGUUCCAGCAAAGAAAAAGAAAAAAAGAGAUAACAAGAAAGAUUCACCUGGAGAGUGCAGCCAUGGGGGAGAAGAUCAGUUUUACCCAGUGAAGCAGGUCUUGAAGACAAAAAAGCAGAAGGGGAAAUUAAUGGAGUUUGUUGAAUGGGAGCCAUGUUCCAUGUGUGGGAAAACAUGGUCUCCACAGUGGGUGGAAAAAAGGAACACCAAAAAAUAAACCCCAAAGGCACCUCUGUUGAUCAGAUUGACCUUUUAAAUUAUUAUUGUUGUUUGUGUUACUGCUUUCUAAUUGUUGUUAAUAAAAAUGUUCAAAUGAAAGGGUUUGAUCUACAUUUUUUAUUGCUCAACAUGCUCACAUGUAUGAUAUACCAUAGAGGUAGGACACAUUUGUUGUGAAAUUCUAAACAAAAGUUUACAAUAAAAAACAUACAAAAAAUUUGUCAUAUAACCAGAUAUCAGGUUUUUGUGUUGGAUUGUCACAGCUAUGGCAAUUGCAAAUGAUCAUACCUCAAGUUAUAAUGAUACAUACUUAAUAGUAAAUCAUUUUUGGUAUUUAGUAUAAUGAAAUAAGAGCAAAGAUGUAAUGCAUGGAGCUGUAUUGUGCAACCUAAAUAGAUGAAUGUAUAUUUGAGGUAAAAAAAAAAAAAAAAAA